rnacentral:rRNA from 1 species
AUUGAACGCUGGCGGCAUGCUUUACACAUGCAAGUCGAACGGCAGCACGGACUUCGGUCUGGUGGCGAGUGGCGAACGGGUGAGUAAUACAUCGGAACGUACCCAGUAAUGGGGGAUAACUAUCCGAAAGGAUAGCUAAUACCGCAUACGCCCUACGGGGGAAAGAGGGGGAUCGCAAGACCUCUUGUUAUUGGAGCGGCCGAUGGCUGAUUAGCUAGUUGGUAGGGUAAAGGCCUACCAAGGCAACGAUCAGUAGCGGGUCUUAGAGGACGAUCCGCCACACGGGAAGUGAGACGCGGUCCAGACUCCUACGGAAGGCAGCAGUGGGGAAUCUUGGACAAUGGGCGCAAGCCUGCUCCAGCAAUGCCGCGUGCGUGAAGAAGGCCUUCGGGUUGUAAAGCGCUUUUGUCACGGAGCAAAUCCUUGUGGCUAAUACCCUCCGGGGAUGAGAGUACCUGAAGAAUAAGGACCGGCUAACUACGUGCCAGCCGCCGCGGUAACAC